GUACUUUCUUUGGCAGCACAUGUACUAACACUGGGACAAUUCAAAGAAGGUUAGUGUGGCUCCCGUAUAAGGAUGACAUGGAAAUCCAUGGAGUAUCCCACAGUUUU
ensembl:snRNA U6 U6 spliceosomal RNA